CUGAAAGUCUGCCCCGAAAUGCAAGUGUUCAUUGCUAGUCGGCUUUAAAUCCCAACUGAGGCGGACGCACCAGGCUAAGUGUUGACUACAUAGGAAUAAUUCUAAGUCCCGUAAAGGCGACUUGAUACUGCCCUAUAGUUCUCACAGUCUCUUCCAAAUACUAAUUCGUAAUGUGUCCAACAUUCUGCGCCUACAUCUCCCUUGCGGUAGUACGUCGCCUGGCACUCUCGUAGCACACCACUUCCACUCUUCACUUCUUACCCCCCUGGCACUCUGUGACUAGCCCUUUUAUAGUGAGUGGUGCGCCUGUCACCACUCCUUAUCGGCGACUCAGUCAGUAGUGCACACGGUACAAAUUGUUCUAGAAUCAUCUAGAACGAUGUGUGUGGGCGUUGGCUGGGCCCGCGGCAGCCGCGGUGCCUACGUGCCGGUCUCGCCGUCCACCACUAUGUUUGCUAUGUCCAAGGGUUACUGCCUCCGGCGGGUCACAUGUUCGGUGGCGCCGCUAAGUCCGCUGCCCAAGCAAACACUAUGCCAGUACACAUCUGUUCUAGUUAUCAGAGUAAAUAUUAAACAGAAGUUCUGUCCCUGCACGUCUGCCUCGGUGAUCUGGUGGCUACAAUUUACUAGCCUGCAUCGUAAAUGAUUUUAGCCCUAAUUUUUAGCAUUCGCGACAA